rnacentral:rRNA from 1 species
AGGAUAAACGCUGGCGGCGUGCCUAACACAUGCAAGUCGAACGCGCUUUCGGGCUUCGGUGCGAGAGCGAGUGGCGGACGGGUGAGUAACACAUGGGUACCUACCUUGGAGUGAGGGAUACCGGCGAGAAAUCGCCGACAAUACCGCAUAGGCUUCUUCACAAGGGAAGCAAAGUGACGCGAGUCACGCUGUGAGAUGGGCCUGUGGCCGAUUAGCUAGUUGGGGGGGUAACGGCUUCCCAAGGCGACGAUCGGUAGCUGGUCUGAGAGGACGAUCAGCCACACUGGGAUUGAGAACGGCCCAGACUCCUACGGGGGCAGCAGUGAGGAAUUUUCCGCAAUGGAGGCAACUCUGACGGAGCAACGCCGCGUGCAGGAGGAAGGUUUUCGGAUCGUAAACUGCUUUUCUCGGGGACGAGCAAGGACGGUACCCGAGGAACGAAGCCCCGGCUAACUACGUGCCAGCAGCCGC